UUAUUUUACCGCUGUAAUUCGCGGAAUAAAGAAAUAUUCCCGGAUAACCUCAAUUUUAGUUAUAAUUAUGAAUAGAAAAUCUAAAAUAAAAUGCGGCUAUUGCGGUUGGAUAAUGAAUGUUGGUUUCUGUGCCAAUAUUGAAGAACACAAAUGUUUUGAAAGUUAUAGAGAAGAGAAUCACUUGUUACAUAUUGAUGAUAACCAUGUAACAAGAAUGAUCCCACAAUAUAGUCACAAUGAAAAUUUAGAAAUAAAUACAUCAGCGAAUAUAGCCGUAAUCCCUGUCGAAAAUAAUGUUGAAACACAAAGUCUGAUGAUGGUACUGAUAAAACUCUUAUUAACUUAGUAUUUGAGAGACCUGCUCUUUGGAACUACAAGUUACCAUUACAAGAUUGGACGAAUUUGGAAAAAGAUGCACUUUGGUUGGAGGUUUCAAAUAGGAUGGGAGGAGGUAAUGCUACUAUUAAAUGGGUAAAGAAUCGAUAAAAGGAUUUACGAGAUGCUUAUGUAAAAGCAAGAAAAAGUUUAAAACUUAUGUUCGAAGUGGAUCCAUACAGACACUGCUCAAAAUUUAAGAAAAACUUUCUUUUGCUACUUUGAAUGGAUGCAGUUUUUGGAAGCAGUGUUAACCACAGAAGCCACUAUCAGUUCUCUGCCAUUUAAAUCAACAUUAUUACCUAGUACAUCAGACUCCAAUUCUCAAUUUGACAUCAGCAGCUGUUCUAAAUCGAAAAUCAGUUUAGAUGAAAGUUCAUCUGAAACGUCACACCAGUUAAUAUCGCUAAAAAUGACACUUAAUAAAUCGAUAUCCACACCUCUUUUUUAAAUACAGUUGCAUUAUCAAAAGCUAAUUUAUCAAGAACAUCAAAGAAACGAAAGCAUCUUGAUAGGACUAAACAGAACAAUGUAGAAGAAAGUUUAUUAGAAGCUUUACGUCAGCCAUUACAGCAACCUGAUGCAGUUGAUGGAAUAUUACUUAGAUUAGGUGAAGGUCUUCGUCGUUUACCAUAUCGAGAAAGAACUAUUGGAAAUUUAAUAGUUACGUGAACUUAUGACAGCUGAAGAGCGAUGCUGUUCAUAAUAAUUAAUAAGAUAAGUUGUUUUGUUUAUUUUUGUUCAUAAAUUU